UAGGAGCAUGGAGAAUGAAAAACUUACGAAGUGACAAUCCUAUGGCUCAUUUUAAGUCAUAAAUACUGUUGAUGUGAUCUGGGCACAGUAUAUCUAUGUUCCUGAUGGGAUACUAAAUAAUAUUGUUGAUGUAAAAUAUUGUAAAUAAAAUAAUGAAAAUAAAUGUUCUUCCUGAUUAUUCAGCAGGAAUAAACUAUAUUAGUUAUUGACUUUCAUUAAUGAUAAAGCGC
rnacentral:lncRNA from 1 species